CUGGGCGACAGUUGCUUGCAAAAAAAAGACGCCUUGGCUGCUUGCCCCCCAAGCUCCCCGGGCUACAAUAGAGGAGUUCUAAGACGGCCUCCCCCUAAGACGGACAGCUGCAAAACCGUCGCAAUUAAUGGGCUUGAAUACAACCCACGACAGGGAAGUGGGGGAAAAUGUGGGCUCUCUGAAGCGAGUCAGCUGCACCACAGUGCCCGGGCAUGUCUGCUCCAGGAUUCCGCCUCCCCCACAGCGGGCUUUCCAGCACAUACUUUGAACCACCAGGUCCCCCUUCCAGAGUGAGGGCCUCCUAGACUGGGAAGACCCCCUGGCAACCUGUGACCUAAAUAAGCUGCUUUCUGCGAACCGAAGACGGCGGGAAAGAACAACGCCCACCCCUAUGCCCAGCACCACCGUCCUUCGCACACCAUCAACACUCGUGAUUCUCAGCGACACAGUUCAGACCUGGCUGUACUUGUGAACUCACGCUGUGAGCCCUUCUCCUGACAGCGAUCAGAGGCUGCAUUGAACUUGUUGGCGUUGCAGAGGGCAAACCCAGGUCAGCAGCAGCAUGCACGCGCGCGCGCACACACACACACACACACACACAGUGAACAAGGAAACCCACGAGCAAGUGACUAGCGGCAGGGCGGAAAGACACGAGCGAUGACGGACCUCAGGCCCGCCCCUGUGCGCUGUGUGACCUCGAGCAAACCCCUUCUCUCCACUUCCUCUCCUGUCAAAUCACUGACACACGAUGUGCUUUUGUUAGAAAAGAAUCCCUUUCGAUAUAUGAUGGGGGAACUAUUGUGGCUACGUAUAGAGCAGAAGUAAAAGAUUUUCCUAAAACAGGAUGCUGAUGUUUAAGGGGA